UACGGGGGGGGCAAGCGUUGUUCGGAAUUACUGGGCGUAAAGGGCUCGUAGGCGGCCAACUAAGUCGGAUGUGAAAUCCCCAGGCUUAACCUGGGAACUGCAUCCGAUACUGGAUGGCUUGAAUCUGGGAGAGGGAUGCAGAAUUCCAGGUGUAGCGGUGAAAUGCGCGGAUAUCAGGAGGAACACCGGUGGCGAAGGCGGGUCUCUGGGCAACUACUGACGCUGAGGAGCGAAAGCGUGGGGAGCGAACAGG
rnacentral:rRNA from 1 species